UACGGAGGGUGCGAGCGUUAAUCGGAAUUACUGGGCGUAAAGCGUGCGCAGGCGGUUCGUUGUGUCGGUGGUGAAAUCCCCGGGCUUAACCUGGGAAUGGCCAUGGAAACUGGCGAACUGGAGUGCGGCAGAGGGGGGUGGAAUUCCGCGUGUAGCAGUGAAAUGCGUAGAGAUGCGGAGGAACACCGAUGGCGAAGGCAGCCCCCUGGGCUAGCACUGACGCUCAGGCACGAAAGCGUGGGGAGCAAACAGG
rnacentral:rRNA from 1 species